CCGCUAGUCGCGCGCGUCAGCGUGGACUCCCCGGAGCGAGUCGCUAGGUAACGGGGCUGGCUCCGCAGACCCGGGGCCGGGGAAGCCCGCGCGCAUCAGCAGCAGCCGUGCCGGGAGCGGGGGUGGAGGGCGCACAGACCCUCCCUCACCCCGGCCUGCGGACCUCAGCUCGCACGCCGCCCCCUCCCAGGAUGCCUUAACCCGAGCCGCCCGCCGCCGAGGUGCCCGUGCCUUGCAGGACCCCGACGCCGCCAGCCCCUUACUCCUUUCCAGCCGGCGCGCACAGCUCUGCGCGCCGCAGGGUGGGCUCCCCACUGUCGCGGUCGGCCGUCGCCCCCGAUCCUCCUGCCGAGCCCGGCGCGGGGCAUGAGGAGCCCCUGGGCGCCGCCCGGAGACAACCCGGAGGCGCGCACACCUCGCCAGCGCGGACGGGGACAUGAGCCGCGCGCACGGGGUCCGGCGCCCGGCGGCCAGCCCCAGCCGGCGGCGGCCCGCGUAUCGGCGCUGCCCGAGAGAAUGAGGCAGGAGCCGGUGGCAGCCUCUUCUUUCUUCUCCUCUUCCUCCUCUUCGCCUUUCUCCGACUCCGGCGCCCCGGGCCCGGGCCGGGCUGUGGCUCUGCUGCGUGCCCCGCGCGCCCCCCGCCCGCCUCCGGAUGCGCUGCUCGGUUAGCCUGGGGAGGAAGAUAAAGACAUUUGCAACCAAGAUGGUAAUCACGAGUGGAAAUGAUGAGGACAGAGGAGGCCAAGAAAAAGAGAGUAAAGAGGAGAGUGUCUUGGCGAUGCUGGGGAUUAUUGGGACCAUUCUGAACCUAAUCGUCAUCAUAUUUGUAUACAUAUACACCACUCUCUGAAUGGCCUCGGGAUGGCCGAAGGACAGGAGUCCUGCGUGUCGGCAGAUCAGUGACUGGACGCUGUACCAACAAGCGACCUUGACCUACAUACUCCGCUCAGUCAAAUGCACCUUCAAACUUGAUAAAGGGUCACCAAAAUAAACCGAUCCUGCUACACAAGGAGCAGACACUAAAGCACAAUGAAUCCAACAAAACUCAUUCACCCAGCAAGGAACUCAACGUCGCUGGUAGGGGGCCCGAAAGAACGCCUGGAAGACCAGCCUUUGACGCCAUCGGGGAGCGGAUGGGUGCAGAGAUUCGUUAUCCCAGAUCGCUGACACAUGUCACGUAUUCAAAGAGAGGAACAAAGUGGAUGCAGCUCACCAUGUCUCCCAGGACACGCGUUUCCUCCUAAUCCGAUGAGCUGUUUAGUACAAAAAACCACAGGGACAAUCCUUUGACAAGCAUCCCAUUCAUCAAAAGUGUCUGACUAUUUGAUACCGGGGAGAUAACUUAUUUUUCUUUUUUCAUUGGCUUGACGUGUGUAUCUGUUCAUAUCAAGGUUUAUAAAUAUAUAUUUUUAAUAAAUGUGCUCUAUUUUUUAGCAUGAACCAAAUACUUGGGGAGGCACCCCCGGAUCCAUAGAGCUUUCCUUGGUUUUACCUGCUUAAACCCCUAGACUGCAGACGAACGUUGUGAAAUCACUCUCGUCCUGAUUCGCUCCUCUUGAAUCCUUUACCUCCUCUCUCCUUGCUCUUUUCGGUCUGGAGGAUGUUUUUCUGUAAUAUACCAGCCAGGAUCUUGGUUGGUGCAUGUUUCAAGAUUGUCCAUUGAGCGGCUUUUUGUUGUUAUACCGGAGAUACCAAACGAUCGUGGGCAUGUGGACCUUGGAUGCACUGUAUCCUUACUAAGAAUGAUGCAUGAACAAGGGCUGAGAGAUAGAUCAGCUUUAAAAAAUUUUUACAAGGACUACCGUGGAGGAAGAGCGCAGCUACCUUUGUAGAUCAACUGUAGGAUGGAGUAUUCUUAACAGCAACAUUAUUAUUUCAUUCUUGUGAUCAUUUGUUGAGCAGAUUUGAUUUUAAUGGCCGCAUACCGUGAGAGAUGAGAACAGGGGGGAAGCUCAGCAUUAGGUGCCUAGUUCCAUCCUUAGCAAGCCACUUGGGAUCCUUUCCAAAGUAGGUGGGGUGCAAAUGGCACAAGGACUCCCCACUGUAAGAGCUCACCUGGGUGUUUCAGGCUAUGAGAACACCCCUGUGACAGGUGACUUUUCAAGGUCACUAGAAGGGGACGCAAUGAUCACCCUCAAAGACUGCUGUGUUUCUUAAAGCUCCUGGUUUAUACUCACCUGCUACUUCCUCUCUGGCAGGGACAGUUCAAUAAAUCUGAAUUUGCCCUGUGCUCCUGGCUCCCUGAGACGGGCCUUUGACUGGCUGCAGUGGCGUGGCCUUAGAAAGAGGGUUAGAAUUCCUUCUGCCAGCGCCAGCCUUGCCUGUGGGCCAAAGAAGCAGCAGUCUUCUUAGUUGGAUUCAAAGGUUGCCCAGGAUGUCUCUCCUGCCAGAUCUCUCCCUCCUGAUGUUGUGGUGUCUGAAAUUCCACCAUUAGAGAGUCAUUUCUUGGGCUCUUCUAAGGGACCAGGCUCUUUUAUGCAGUAAAUGCCCUGAGAACCUGGCUCUCAUCAGGUGUCUUCCCCACCAGAAGGAAGGAGGCUGAUGUGCAUUCAGGGCACACUGUGUGCCAGACACUCUAUUCUUUAAGUCAUUGAAUUCUCAUGGUAAGUGAGAUAGGGAGUUUUUGCCCUACAUUGUAGAAGAGAAAGGAGGGCUUAGAGAGAUCCAGAAACUUUCCUGUGGUCAGGUGGCUACUAGUGGUGAGUCAAGAUGCAAACCCCCGAUCUCUCUGAUUCUCUGGCCUAGUGAGGGUUGGUAAAUGCUGGGGAAAGAGGAGGUGGAGAGGUGAGGACGGUCCAGGAGAGGGCCCUUGGGGGUCAGAUACAAAUCCACGGCUUUGCUGGCCUCUGCACACCUUCCUACCCUCCCUCUUAAGAAAUGAACAAUCCCUGGGAACUCCUUGCACACGGGCAGGAGGCCAUAGACAUGAGGACGAGGCACAGGAAGGAGACUGGUUAGGAAUGUAAUGGACUGUCGGGUGAGGGGGCUGUCUCACAGCUUCUGUGUGGUUCUAGAAAGAUUGUAUGAAAAUUCUGAACAAUGAACAAACAAUAAAGGUGCGAUGGAAAAAAAAUAUUGAUAUCCUUUC
ensembl:lncRNA